AAGUACGAUGUGAAGAACAAAAUUCUGAGGACUUAUAAAUGUUAUGACCUAGCACCAGCAAAAGAUAUUCCAUGGAAGAUUGUGCUGAUUUCCUCCUCAUAAUUUUGCUUAAAAGUGGAAAUGGACUUUACAUACGCUUAAAUAUCUCUGCAUAUGGACUAUUUGGAAAUUUACCUGUAUCUACCUUGAACUUAUCAAAACAACUUUGAUACCUGUGAUUAUAACAGGAUAAUGAUGAAUUUAUUUAAAUUUACUAAGCAUCCACAAUGUGUCAAGAAUCAUGUUUGACUCUGUAAUGUGCUUCAGAAGUAUACUUAUUUCCUGUCUUCUGUGGAGAGGAAUUUUUUUUUCAAUUUUUGUUAAGCUACAUACUUUCAACUCAAAGCACAUAAUUUUUGUCAAUAAGAUCAUCACUCAAUUUUCAAUAUUUUUGUUCUUUUUAAUGUCUACAGUUUUAGUUAAAGUAAAUUUAGCUGUGGAUAAUUAUGCCCCAAUAUUGUGUUCCAGCAGGGUUAAUCAAAAGUAACAUUUGCCCCAGUGAAAAGGCAUUGUUCAAUGCCAGUUUAUUCACUCUUAAAAUAACUUAGUGUUUUAUUUUUGGAUUUGGUGAACAAGUGAGUUUUUGGUCAUACAUUCAUGUAUUCUGAGUUGAUUAAGAGUUAAUUGAUAGAAAUAAGAUAAGUAGGUUUUACUAAGCGAGAAAUUUUAUCCAUACUCUUUACUUCAAAAUGCUUUUUAUUCUUUUAUCAACUUCAGCUAUUUGUUAGAACAGAAGUUUUCAACCCUGUCUGCUCAUUAGAACUGCCUGGAAAGUUUUAAAUAUUCAGAUGCUUAGGCUAUAAAAGAGACCAAUUAAAUAAUAAUUUAUUUAAAAAUCACAAGCCUUAUGGUGAUUGCAAAUGAAAAAGCAUACAACAGAUAUACAAAAUAUAAAAAGCAAGAAAUCAAAUAACACCAGAGAAAAGGGAAAUAAGAAGAAAUGAAAGAGGAAUGAGAAGACCAUUAAACAACUAGAAAACAAAUAACAAAUGGUGGGAGUAAGUCCUUACUCAUCAGUAAUGAAAUUGAAUAUAAAUGGAUUAAACACUCCAAUCAAAAGACGCAGUGAAAAGACAAACCACAGAAUGGGAGAAAAUAUUUGCAAAAUAAUCAUUUGACAAGGGAUUAAUGACCAGAAUAUAUAAGGAGCUCAAACAACUCUAUAGGAAAAACUUCUAAUAAUCUGAUUUAAAAAUGGGCAAAAUAUUUGAAUAGGCAUUUCUCAAAAGAAGACAUACAAAUGGCAAUCAGGCAUAUGAAGAGGUGCUCAACAUCAUCGAUCAUCAGAGAAAUGCAAAUCACAACUACAAUGAGACAUCAUCUCGCCCUAGUUAAAAUGGCUUUUAUCCAAAAGACAGCCAGUAACAAAUGCUGUUGAAGCUGUGGAGAAAAGACAGGUUCUUGUUUUGUUGCCCAGGCUGGAAUGCAGUGGUAGGAGCACAGCUCACUGCAGCCUCAACCUCCUGGGCCCAAGUGAUCCUCCCAUCUCAGCCUGCCAAAGUGUUGAGAUUACAAGUAUAAGCUGCUGUGCCUGGCCAGAAGAUUUCAAUCACUGCAAAACUUGUAUUGGAAAGUGCUAAUAAAGAAUUGAUUUUCAGUGAAUGGUCUGUAUUCCAUCAUCAUUGGCCUUACAUAAAAGUUUGUUAAAAAUGCAGAUAAUUACUAUGAUCAUUAAUAUUUGAGAAGUUCAUUAAAAGUGCUCUAAUUUACUAAUAAUGAAUUUAUUUAUUUUAUGUUUUUAUUUUUAUUUUGAAACAGAGAGUCUCGCUCUGUUGCCAGGCUGGAGUGCAAUGGCACAAUCUUGGCUCACUGCAACCUCUGCCGCCCAGGUCCAAGCGAUUCUUGUGCCUCAGCCUCCCGAGUAACUGGGACCACAGCUCUGCACCACCACUCCUGGCUAAUUUUUUGUAUUUUUAGUAGAGAUGAGGUUUCACCAUUUUGGCCAGGCUGAUCUUGAACUCCUGGUCUCAAUUGAUCCGCCCGCCUCAGCCUCCCAAAGUGCUGGGAUUACAGGCGUGAGCCACUGUGCCUGGGCUGACAAUGAAUUCAAAUAACAGAUUUCGCCAAAUGUUUGAUGCUUUAUGUCUUAAUGAUAUCAAAUUAUAUGUUAUUAAUUCAUUUAUAAAUAUUAAUCCAAUAUUAUUUAUUGAGCACCUACAAUUGGCCAGGCACUAUGCUGGGCACAUAGAAACAAAAUAAAAAUGGUCUAGGAUUUAUUUUGGAAUAGUAUAGAAAUUAGAAUAAUAACAAUAAAGAUAUUUAGAUAAAUUAGAUAGAAAGAAACACAUUUUUUCUAAAUGCUAUGAAGGAAGAAGUUACAGAGAACAAUUGGGAAGUAAAGAGAUACAAGAGAAGAUUGUCGGGACUGUUAAAAUGAUAACAUUAAAUGUAAGAACCAAAGAAUAAAAGAGUCAGAGAGGAUAAUUCAGAACAUUGCUUACUCAUGAGUAGGUUUCAUCUGUGACCAUCCAUAGAGAUUGUGAACAUCGUAAUGCAAAACUGAUGUUCCAUCACUAAGAAUCUGCUCAGCUUCCAUGCAAAUUGUUCUGAAAUGUAAUCCAUCAGUUCUUUUUGUGAGUUCUGGAAAGAAUCAAUGAAAAAAUAUUAAUAUAUUAUACAGUGCCCUACAAUGAAACGUGUAACUCAUAAUUAUGUAUUCCUUGACAAAGAAAUUAAUCAGUGUUUUAUAAAACCUAUGUAUAUUUUAACCAUUUGUAUACUUUGUAUGAGUUAAUUAUCAACUUAAAAUGGCCUGAAAUUGUAACUGAAUUACAUGAAUUAAUAAAAACCUGA
rnacentral:lncRNA from 1 species